rnacentral:rRNA from 1 species
UGGCUGUCGUCAGCUCGUGUUGUGAAAUGUUGGGUUAAGUCCCGCAACGAGCGCAACCCUUAUCCUUUGUUGCCAGCGGUCCGGGCCGGGAACUCAAAGGAGACUGCCAGUGAUAAACUGGAGGAAGGUGGGGAUGACGUCAAGUCAUCAUGGCCCUUACGACCAGGGCUACACACGUGCUACAAUGGCAUAUACAAAGAGAAGCGACCUCGCGAGAGCAAGCGGACCUCAUAAAGUAUGUCGUAGUCCGGAUUGGAGUCUGCAACUCGACUCCAUGAAGUCGGAAUCGCUAGUAAUCGUGGAUCAGAAUGCCACGGUGAAUACGUUCCCGGGCCUUGUACACACCGCCCGUCACACCAUGGGAGUGGGUUGCAAAAGAAGUAGUAGAGUUUGAUCCUGG